rnacentral:lncRNA from 1 species
CGCAUGGAUAUAGCUCAAUGAAAUCAGAAGUCAAUUUCUUGUUAGGUCCUCAGGGACCCAACCCACCAUAUGGGCGUGAUCUCUGGUAGCUUGAACUUUUCUUUUUUUUAAAAAAAAGGAAACACUUUGCAGCUUGUCGGUGCAUCCAGGAUUCUAGAACCAUGUGAACUCUGAAUAAGCAAUGGAUGGUUGGUUGAAUGCUGAAAGGCAUGGCGCAUAAGCAAUGGAUGGUUGGUUGAAUGCUGAAAGGCAUGGCGUUGACAUUUUAUGAGGUGGCUCAUUCAACACAACGCAUUGGGGAGAUGAACUGAGGUCAUAAUGGGCUAAUGCAGUGUCAUAUACUUGCUUAGUGGCAGAUUAGUUGCUAUAUGCAUGAUCAAAAGACUCAUGAUAGUAGCAGCGAUCUUGGUCAUCUUCCCUGUGUCCUGUCAAAAGAUUACAUCAGCAGAAGACAGUGAUUGAAAAAAGAAGCAUUAAAUAUAGAGCAUCCUUGGCAUUCAAUUAAUCACACAAUUACGGAGAUAUUGAUACUUAAUGCAAUUUAGAAAUCAAAAGAUAAAUCAACUGGAUUUUUUCUUAACCAGUCAAUGAAAAAUGUACCACGCUAAAUCAAACUAAAUAGCAUUGCCCCAUUGCUUGACCUAUAUGACAGAUUGAUACAGACAAAUAAAAAAGAGAUGAGCGCGUUUGACUUAUGAUAGAGAGAACAAACCUCAGGAGCAAGAGUAGUUGCCGUAGGAGCUG